CACGUGAGAAUUUACCUUUAGGAGGGGAAUAACAGUUGGAAACGAUUGCUAAUGCCGCAUAUCAUUUAUAUGAAAGAAGAAAUUCGCCUAAAGAAAAGCUUGCGUCUGAUUAGCUAGUUGGUAAGGGUAAAGGCCUACCAAGGCGACGAUCAGUAGCUGGUUUGAGAGGACGACCAGUCACACUGGAACUGAGACACGGUCCAGACUCCUACGGGAGGCAGCAGUGGGGAAUUUUCUGCAAUGGGCGAAAGCCUGACAGAGCAAUACCGCGUGAGGGAAGAAAGCCCACAGGGUUGUAAA
rnacentral:rRNA from 1 species